UUUCGCAAUGCCCGAAAGGGUGACGAAGCGACGCCGCGUGUGGGAAGAAGGCCUUCGGGUUGUAAACCACUGUCGGGAGUUAGGAAGUGCAGGAGCGUUAAUAGCGUUCUUGCUUGACUAAGGCUCCAGAGGAAGCCACGGCUAACUCUGUGCCAGCAGCCGCGGUAAUACAGAGGCGGCAAGCGUUGUUCGGAAUUAUUGGGCGUAAAGAGCACGUAGGCGGCCUUGCAAGUCAGUUGUGAAAGCCUUCCGCUCAACGGAAGAAUGCCAGCUGAUACUACAGGGCUUGAGUACGGGAGGGGAGAGUGGAACUUCUGGUGGAGCGGUGAAAUGCGUAGAUAUCAGAAGGAACGCCGGCGGCGAAAGCGACUCUCUGGCCCGAAACUGACGCUGAGUGUGCGAAAGCUAGGGGAGCAAACGGGAUUAGAUACCCCGGUAGUCCUAGCCGUAAACGAUGGGCACUAAGUAGAGGGGUUUUA
rnacentral:rRNA from 1 species